UACACUCCUACGGGAGGCAGCAGUGGGGAAUAUUGCACAAUGGGCGCAAGCCUGAUGCAGCCAUGCCGCGUGUAUGAAGAAGGCCUUCGGGUUGUAAAGUACUUUCAGCGGGGAGGAAGGCGAUAAGGUUAAUAACCUUGUUGAUUGACGUUACCCGCAGAAGAAGCACCGGCUAACUCCGUGCCAGCAGCCGCGGUAAUACGGAGGGUGCAAGCGUUAAUCGGAAUUACUGGGCGUAAAGCGCACGCAGGCGGUCUGUCAAGUCGGAUGUGAAAUCCCCGGGCUCAACCUGGGAACUGCAUUCGAAACUGGCAGGCUAGAGUCUUGUAGAGGGGGGUAGAAUUCCAGGUGUAGCGGUGAAAUGCGUAGAGAUCUGGAGGAAUACCGGUGGCGAAGGCGGCCCCCUGGACAAAGACUGACGCUCAGGUGCGAAAGCGUGGGGAGCAAACAGGAUUAGAAACCCUUGUAGUCCCAUGA
rnacentral:rRNA from 1 species